CCCUUAGAUGUCCUGGGCCGCACGCGCGCUACACUGACAUGUUCAACAAGCCUCCUAGUUCGACAGGAUUUGGGAAAUCUUUGAACGCAUGUCGUGAUAGGGAUAGAUCAUUGCAAUUAUUGAUCUUGAACGAGGAAUUCCUAGUAAACGCGAGUCAUCAGCUCGCAUUGAUUACGUCCCUGCCCUUUGUACACACCGCCCGUCGCUCCUACCGAUUGAGUGGUCCGGUGAAUUAUUCGGACUGCAACGCGUUCAGCUUCUGGAUGCAGUUGCGGAAAGUUUUGUAAACCUUAUCACUUAGAGGAAGGAGAAGUCGUAACA
rnacentral:rRNA from 1 species